rnacentral:rRNA from 1 species
ACUCCUACGGGAGGCAGCAGUGGGGAAUAUUGCACAAUGGGGGGAAACCCUGAUGCAGCCAUGCCGCGUGUGUGAAGAAGGCCUUGGGUUGUAAAGCACUUUCAGUAGGGAGGGAAGGUAGUGUAGUUAACACCUGCAUUAUUUGUACGUUACCUACAGAAGAAGCACCGGCUAACUCCGUGCCAGCAGCCGCGGUAAGUACGGAGGGUGCGAGCGUUAAUCGGAAUUACGUGGGCGUAAAGCGCAUGCAGGCGGCCUGUUAAGUCAGAUGUGAAAGCCCGGGGCUUAACCUCGGAAUUGCAUUUGAAACUGGCAGGCUAGAGUCUUGUAGGAGGGGGUUAGAAUUUCAGGUGUAGGCGGUGAAAUGCGUAGAGAUCUGAAGGAAUACCAGGUGGC